UACAGAGGUCUCAAGCGUUGUUCGGAUUCAUUGGGCGUAAAGGGUGCGUAGGCGGCGCGGUAAGUCGGGUGUGAAAUCUCGGAGCUUAACUCCGAAACUGCAUUCGAUACUGCCGUGCUUGAGGACUGGAGAGGAGAUUGGAAUUUACGGUGUAGCGGUGAAAUGCGUAGAUAUCGUAAGGAAGACCAGUGGCGAAGGCGGGUCUCUGGGAAGGUACCGACGCUGAGGAGCGAAAGCGUGGGGAGCAAACAGG
rnacentral:rRNA from 1 species